rnacentral:lncRNA from 1 species
AUUAAUUUAUAUUCUGUAACACUGCAAUGCUAAAAGUGUCAUGGGGAAAAUCUAAGUAUUUAUAUUAAUCUCAUGAUAAAAGUCUACAGGACAUAUUUUAAAAACAUCUUUUUAAAGUCAAAGUCAAAAAAAAAUUAAUAAUAAUGUCACAUCCCAGAAAAUCUGGUCUGCAUUUUUUUUUUUUUUUUUACAAUAACAAUAAGGCCCACUGCAUACUACAAGACCAUUUUUUUUAGUACAACCCACGUACCACAUGAGGGCGCUAAGCACCGCAACAGAGUUUGGAAGAGACUAGCGGAUUCAAGGCAAAGACAGUUAGUAGCUCUACAGAAGAGGAGGACGAGUAAUGUCUUGAUUUACUAGGAUUGAAAGUACAACUAGGGAGAGAGAAAACACCAUUACAGGUUA